GAAAGAUAUAAAGUGGGCAGGGUGAGUAACACGUAGGUAAUGUACCUUUGGGUGGGGAAUAACAGUCGGAAACGACUGCUAAUACCGCAUAAUGCAGCGGCUCCUUAUGGAGACAGUUGUUAAAGAUUUAUCGCCUAAAGAGCAGCCUGCGGCAGAUUAGCUAGUUGGUAAGGUAAUGGCUUACCAAGGCUACGAUCUGUAUCCGACCUGAGAGGGUGGUCGGACACACUGACACUGAAUAACGGGUCAGACUCCUACGGGAGGCAGCAGUCGGGAAUUUUGGGCAAUGGGCGAAAGCCUGACCCAGCAACGCCGCGUGAAGGAUGAAGUCUCUCGGGAUGUAAACUUCGUAAGAAUAGGAAGAAUAAAUGACGGUACUAUUUGUAAGGUCCGGCUAACUACGUGCCAGCAGCCGCGGUAAUACGUAGGGACCAAGCGUUGUUCGGAUUUACUGGGCGUAAAGGGCGCGUAGGCGGCAAUUCAAGUCAGUUGUGAAAUCUCCGAGCUUUACUCGGAACGGUCAACUGAUACUGCUUUGCUAGAGUACAGAAGGGGCAAUCGGAAUUCUUGGUGUAGCGGUGAAAUGCG
rnacentral:rRNA from 1 species